rnacentral:rRNA from 1 species
AUUGAACGCUGGCGGCAGGCUUAACACAUGCAAGUCGAACGGUAACAUAAAGAAGCUUGCUUCUUUGAUGACGAGUGGCGGACGGGUGAGUAAUGCUUGGGAAUCUGGCUUAUGGAGGGGGAUAACUACGGGAAACUGUAGCUAAUACCGCGUAAUAUCGAAAGAUUAAAGUGUGGGACCUUCGGGCCACAUGCCAUAGGGUGAGCCCAAGUGGGAUUAGGUAGUUGGUGAGGUAAAGGCUCACCAAGCCGACGAUCUCUAGCUGGUCUGAGAGGAUGACCAGCCACACUGGGACUGAGACACGGCCCAGACUCCUACGGGAGGCAGCAGUGGGGAAUAUUGCGCAAUGGGGGCAACCCUGACGCAGCCAUGCCGCGUGAAUGAAGAAGGCCUUCGGGUUGUAAAGUUCUUUCGGUAGCGAGGAAGGUGGUUAGUUUAAUAGGCUAGCCAAUUGACGUUAACUACAGAAGAAGCACCGGCUAACUCCGUGCCAGCAGCCGCGGUAAUACGGAGGGUGCGAGCGUUAAUCGGAAUAACUGGGCGUAAAGGGCACGCAGGCGGACUUUUAAGUGAGGUGUGAAAGCCCCGGGCUUAACCUGGGAAUUGCAUUUCAGACUGGGAGUCUAGAGUACUUUAGGGAGGGGUAGAAUUCCACGUGUAGCGGUGAAAUGCGUAGAGAUGUGGAGGAAUACCGAAGGCGAAGGCAGCCCCUUGGGAAUGUACUGACGCUGAUGUGCGAAAGCGUGGGGAGCAAACAGG